GCGUCGGUGGUUCAAGGUAGAAUACUCGCCUGCCACGCGGGCGGCCCGGGUUCGAUUCCCGGCCGACGCA
rnacentral:tRNA from 1 species